GGGAAUGUAGCUCAGUUGGUAGAGUGCUUGCCUAGCAUGUGCAAGGCCCUGGGUUCAAUCCCCAGCACCACCA
rnacentral:tRNA from 1 species